UGGUGAGGGAGGUGCGAGGGAGGAAGGAAGAACCCAGGACCAAGUUGACCCACAGUCCUCGGGUGCCGAAUCCCCCCGGGAAUCCUGCGUAGGAUCAGAUUGUUUGUUUGACCGUACAGUGCCUGCAUAGUGCAUCUGUCAUCUGUCUGUGUCUCUGUCUGCCGGAGGCAUCCGUCUGUCCGCUCGACUCCAGCACUGUCCAAGGACCUGAAGGAGCCGAGAGGAAGAACAGGAUCUGGGCUGUUCCGUGCUGUGAUCGGACUGGAUCUACCGACGCUCACACGUCCAGGGAGAGCCGGCGAACCAAACCCCUGGGCUGCUCACCACGUUGGCUGAUCUGCUCUCCAAUGAACCCCGAGGGUGGGAUGGAUACUGGGUGGAUGGAUGGACCAGCUCAGGGAUCGCAGAG
ensembl:lncRNA